GGGUCGGUAGCUCAGUCGGUAGAGCACUGGACUUUUAAUCCAUUGGUCGUGAGUUCGAGCCUCACCCGACCCA
rnacentral:tRNA from 1 species